UACGAACGCUGGCGGCGUGCUUAACACAUGCAAGUCGAACGCUGAAGCUCAGCUUUUGUUGGGUGGAUGAGUGGCGAACGGGUGAGUAACACGUGAGUAACCUGCCCCCUUCUUUGGGAUAACGCCCGGAAACGGGUGCUAAUACUGGAUAUUCACUGGUCUUCGCAUGGGGGUUGGUGGAAAGGGUUUUUCUGGUGGGGGAUGGGCUCGCGGCCUAUCAGCUUGUUGGUGGGGUGAUGGCCUACCAAGGCUUUGACGGGUAGCCGGCCUGAGAGGGUGACCGGUCGCAUUGGGACUGAGAUACGGCCCAGACUCCUACGGGAGGCAGCAGUGGGGAAUAUUGCACAAUGGGCGCAAGCCUGAUGCAGCGACGCCGCGUGAGGGAUGGAGGCCUUCGGGUUGUGAACCCCUUUCGCUCAUGGACAAGCCGAAACAAUGGUUGUGGUGAGGGUAGUGGGUAAAGAAGCGCCGGCUAACUACGUG
rnacentral:rRNA from 1 species